CUCACCGUGAACUUCUGUCCACAAGUACACCACUGUUCCCACAAAAAGAGCUUUUACUAAUGACAGAACAUGGUCUGCUCACCACCGUUACAACCAAGGGGGGGGUGUGGACCCAGAUAACCACAACCUUGUGGGAAAUGUUCCUUGAGAUACAUGAGUUGAAGAUAGGGCCCACUUCCGAGGCUGUUAUCUUGAGGCCAGCGUCUAACAAAUACAGACAACUUGAAUAUGAAAGCCUCCUAAGAUCAGGACUUCCCAACAUCAGAAUCACCUGGGAAGCAUCGCUUUUAGUUGAGGCUGGCCGUAGAAGACCAAGUGGAGGGCGCCAUGACCCCAGCUGAACUUAGAGCCACCAGAUGCACGAAGGCUCUGUCUGUCCCCUUGCCACCUCCAUGGGACAAUGAUAUGAGAAGGAACCUGAAGUGCUUAUGGAAAUUGCAAGAAGAGGACAAAAUCAGUUGGAAAGAUUUAGAGAUCUGGGGUCAAAACAGUGUGAAAUCACUGCCCAAAGGGAAGGAUUCUAAGCACUUGUCUGAAACAGAGAAUCUUAGUGUAAAUCACAUUAAGCAAGCAACUCCAGUGUGGGACAGCUGAUUGUGGUGCAGAAGUCUUGUUGUAAGAGUGGCAAAGAACUGAAAACAUGGCCAAGAAUGUAUCGGCCAGCCUUAGUCUCUGAGCCAUCCAUACCCACCACGCAGCCCCAGAGAGGCACAGGUGAAGUGCUGAAUGGCCCCUAGACACCAAGAAGGGCACAGAAUUUAGCUGACAAAGAGCCCACGUGGUCUUAUCAUCAUAACAGUGAGUCAUAAAAGUGAGAAGUGGCAUGGAAUGUGCACAUCACGAGUCCAGGUGAGUCAAGAACAUCUCCACAGGUAACCUAAUGUGGCAGCCGUGACACCCAGGAACCACAGUGGGCUGUUGGUCAUCUCAGCAGAAGCCAGGCCAUGUCAAGACUGGGGACAGAAGCCCUUUCCCACUGCCCCCAGAAGUUAGCUCUCUGGAGAGAAGAAAAUAGAGGAGGUCAUCUGGAAUCAUUUGCAUUCUUUUGUUGUGUGUUUCUCAUGGCCUAGAGCAGGGAGAAAUCAGAUAUAUUUCUGGGAGAAGGAAAUAACUCCUAAGACGAAUAUUGAAAGACGGUAAUCAAGAUAGGCGAAGAAAGUGAAGGAGGCAAUGAUAGGCCAAGGGAACAGUGUAAAGCUGUGUUUUCUUGGCAUGGAAGUAGGAAACAGUAUAUUGGAAGCUAGCCCAGGAACCAUUAGCAAAUUGGUAAUAUGACAGCCUGGAGUUGGAGGUUAUGAUGAAGAUAUGGUUGGAGAAGUAAGUAGAGGUCAGGACUUUUGGAGGACUUUCAUGACACACAAAAGUGGCUUACGUGACAUAAAGGCAUUGAAAGGGUUGGAUUUUCAACAUUGUGCAUGAUGGAUCUGAGGGUUUAAUUCUGGUUGUUUAUUCCUAACAAAACUUAGUGAUUUCAAAUAACAUUUUUUUACAUGUUACAGUUUUGGAGGUCAGGAAUUUGGGCAGGGCUCAGCUAGGCAAUUCUUCUGCUCUAUAUGCACUGGUUGGCACCCCAGUAGUAUUCAUCUGCCAGUUGAUCUGGUAUGGAUGUUAUAAGAUGGUUUUACACUCAUGCCUGGUAACUGGGCAGUCAAGUCACUGUUCCUCUCUGUGUCAUCUCAACCCUUUCCAUAUGGUCUAACAAGAGUGUUGGACUUAUUCAUGGUGGCCCAGGACUUCCAGAGACCAAGGUGAAAACUUCUCUUAAA